GGUGGGUGAAGAUAUCCCUCUAGUGGUGUGGGGGCUGUGCUUUGGCAAAGUGGGUGGGGUUAUAUACUGCCUGUUUGGCCCUGUCCGGGGUAUCAUCGGAUGGGGCCACAGUGUCUCCUGACCCCUCCUGUCUCAGCCUCCAGUAUUUGUGCUGCAGUAGUUUAUGUGUCGAGGGGCUAGGGUCAGUCUGUUAUAUCUGGAGUAUUUCUUCUGUCUUAUCUGGUGUCCUGUGUGAAUUUAAGUAUGCUCUCUCUAAUUCUCUCUUUCUCUCUCGGAGGACCUGAGCCCUAGGACCAUGCCUCAGGACUACCUGGCAUGAUGACUCCUUGCUGUCCCCAGUCCACCUGGCCGUGCUGCUGCUCCAGUUUCAACUGUUCUGCCUGCGGCUAUGGAACUCUGACCUGUUCACCGGACGUGCUACCUGUCCCAGACCUGCUGAUUUCAACUCUCUAGAGAUAGCAGAAGCGGUAGAGAUACUCUGAAUGAUCGGCUAUGAAAAGCCAACUGACAUUUACUCCUGAGGUGCUGACUUGUUGCACCCUCGACAACUACUAUGAUUAUUAUUAUUUGACCCUGCUGGUCAUUUAUGAACAUUUGAACAUCUUGGCCAUGUUCUGUUAUAAUCUCCACCCGGCACAGCCAGCAGAGGACUGACCACCCCUCAUAGCCUGGUUCCUCUCUAGGUUUCUUCCUAGGUUCUGGCCUUUCUACGGAGUUUUUCCUAGCCACUGUGCUUCUACACCUGCAUUGCUUGCUGUUUGGGGUUUUAGGCUGGGAUUCUGUACAGCACUUUGAGAUAUCAGCUGAUGAUGUUUCUGAUCUGCCAAUGGCCUGGGGGAAUGAGAAUGGCCAAGACCAUUGUGUAAAAGGGGAGGAGUUGUGGUUUGUAUGACUAACAAUGUAGGCAGAGGAAGGUUGAGACCGGAUUGUCAUAGGUAACAGUAAUGCCUCUGGCUCGGAUGUACAUGCAUGGACGUGCGCAUCGUACCCCCUGGUUUAGCACCUCAUGAAAUACUCACAGAAAGACCCAUGGGAAUCCUAAACACCCCGUUCCCACAGAACAGUUUGACACUGACGGGUUGCGAGGAUCAAAUGCUAAGUCCCCUCCUGUUCCAUGGUUUAACAAGCGAUGACCACUCUACUUCCAUUGUCAACUAACUCCUCACAUGAACUGGAAGCCACGUCUCAUGUGGCCCACUCAACCACUGGCACAUUGAAUGUUUCCUCUCCAAGCACGUCAAACCCUGCCCUGCACUGGUCAAGCCUCUGAACACCUCAACUCAUGCCUCAUACCCUCAUUCAAUCACUGCUGUGAUCCCUUCCCAAAAUGGUGUAGGUAGCCCUCUCAUUCCUAUUCCCCAUAAUAUUGUACUAUAAGUGUCUUUAUUAAAUGCUUUAGGUUAAAAUAAUUACUCUUUGACGAUUUUUGAAACACAUUUUUGACAUCUCUGUGCGUUCUGCUCCUAUACUGUGGGUCUCCCAUCCUCCUCAACAACAGACAUGUCUAAUAACGUGUAAUACAAUUCAUCAUUAAUAAUUCUGCAAGUUUUCUGUUUUCAGAAGCCUGAUUCUACU
rnacentral:lncRNA from 1 species